rnacentral:lncRNA from 12 species
ACAGACUGGGAAGAUGUACGAGAAAGCAGAGAUCAUGGAGAGCUUCACCUCUUGGACAGCGCGUGGCCCUCAAAACACCUACCUUCGUCAAAGACAUGGGUGUCCAAGCAUGCUCAUAUACUUCAUUACUCAAGCCACUUGCCUGGGUGUGCACCUGUGAAAAAUGAACAUCAUGGGCCUGAUAAAUGAGUCCAAUAACUGCAGGUUUGGUUUUUCAUGUGUUUGUAUGUAUGAAUGUUAUGUUUCUAAGAUUAAAUCUCAGGAGCAAGCAAGUUAUGCUGUUUUAUAGCUCCCUGUCAGUGAUGAAUCUGGCCAAAUUUUAGAGGUAAAUGUUGUGGGUGUUCUUUAUAGACGAAACUGCUUUAUAUUGCUGUCCCUACAGUAUUUAAAUGGCUAAAUCUAUGCUCUGUCAAUCGAAGAUUCUUGAUGCUGAAUUCUGUUCUAUAGUAAAUUUGAGUGAGGGUCGUCCAGUUUAUAUAGUUUUAGAGGAAGUGUAGAGCUUUUCUAUUCAUCUGUUCUUACAGUGAUCAGAGAAACAGCUGUUACCCUCAAGGACUGAUAAAGCCAUUAUUACUACAAUUGCUUCAUACCACUUCCUUUUGUUGGACAAGAAGCAUGCUAAUGCAACCAAGAUCCUGCUAUUUCUCCUAAAUGAGAGAGAAAAAAAAUACAUUCAAGGAACUUACAGUACUUCACAAAUCAAUUUUA